AGCAGCCGCGGUAAUUCCAGCUCCAAUAGCGUAUAUUAAAGUUGUUGCAGUUAAAAAGCUCGUAGUUGAACCUUAGGCCCGUGCGGGUGGUCCGUCCUCUGGGCGAGCACUGCGUCGUCGCGGGUCUCACCUUCUGGCGAGCGUGGAUGCCAUUCACUUGGUGUCCGCGGGAACCAGGACCUUUACCUUGAAAAAAUUAGAGUGCUCAAAGCGGGCUCGUACGCUUGAAUACAUUAGCAUGGAAUAAUGAAAUAGGACGACGGUUCUAUUUUGUUGGUUUCCGGGACAGUCGUAAUGAUUAAUAGGGAUAGUUGGGGGCAUUCGUAUUCAAUUGUCAGAGGUGAAAUUCUUGGAUUUAUUGAAGACGAACUACUGCGAAAGCAUUUGCCAAGGAUGUUUUCAUUAAUCAAGAACGAAAGUUGGGGGAUCGAAGACGAUCAGAUACCGUCGUAGUCUCAACCAUAAACUAUGCCGACUGGGAAUCGGGCGAUGUUACUCUUUUGACUCGCUCGGCGCCCCGAG
rnacentral:ncRNA from 3 species